rnacentral:rRNA from 1 species
UACAGAGGUCUCAAGCGUUGUUCGGAUUCAUUGGGCGUAAAGGGCGCGUAGGCGGCGGGGUAAGUCGGGUGUGAAAUCUCAGAGCUCAACUCUGAAACUGCACUCGAUACUGCUCUGCUUGAGGACUGGAGAGGAGACUGGAAUUCACGGUGUAGCAGUGAAAUGCGUAGAUAUCGUGAGGAAGACCAGUGGCGAAGGCGGGCUCUGGACCAGUCCUGACGCUGAGGCGACGAAAGCGUGGGGUAGCAAACAGG